GCCCUUUUCUUUUUGCGCGCUUGUCCUAUAUGAGGUUCUGCCGGUUUCGAUCGGCUAUGGCGAUAAAUUGCGGCGUGCAAUAGGCACAGCGGACCCGGGGGCGGUACCCGGCGGCUCCACCACCUCCAUCCGUGAAAGCGGGCGGAUAUGACGGGGCCGAACUAGGAUCGACGUGUGUUGAAAAGCGUUGUUUUCGCCCGGGCUGAGUAACCCGUUCAAGGCUCAAAACUCACAAGUGCCAACGACAACGAAGCACUUGCUCUCGCGGCGUAAUGUGACGGCUUAACGGCCUGAAUUUACAAAGCGAAAGCACGGUUCGGACCGAACCGGGUAACAGAAUCGGAAACC
rnacentral:tmRNA from 1 species